AAGAAAGAUACAAAAAAAUUUUUUGACCCUAUUUUGUCAGUUGGCAAUCAGUAACUACACGUGAACUCUACAAAAAGUUAGAAAUACUAUUCCCUAUCAGUUGCCACAACAUUAAUUGCAUGUGACCUUUUCAGUUUUGUACCAAAUGCUUCCAUCAAGCACUUAUGGAUUGCAUAGCGAUUUUCAAAAUUCCAAGCAGAAGAUGCUCCCAGAUAGCA
rnacentral:misc_RNA from 1 species